rnacentral:pre_miRNA from 1 species
AUAUGGAUCACCUGGGUAGCAGUGUUAGCAUGCAGGUUCUGAUUUGGUAGGACUCUGAGAAUCUGCAUUUCUAAUGAGCACUCAAGUGACACACAU